UUUCAUGUAUAAAGACAGAAAAAGAGAGAAGAGGGAGAUAGAGAAAAGGCCAAAAAAAACCAGAGAUUGAUACCUUUCAUGCAUUCGAAUCAUCAGUUUUAUAAUAUAUAUGCAUACAUGAGUCAUUCCAUUUGGUGAAUUCCAAAAAAUGAGAGCGUCUCUGUACUCUGCGCUACUCUUUAUACGUGAGCAGAAAUGUUGCAGGGUUGGAACUUUCGGAAGAUUAUAAUAUGGAAGAUGAUUUGAGUAGUUCUAGUCAAAAGGAGAAGGAAAAAGAAGCAAAUAUUGAAGAUCAUGAGAUUCUCAAAAAGAAAAUCUCUACUCAUCCUUUAUAUGGUUUGUUGGUUGAAAAUCACUUGGACUGCUUGAAGGUUAGUGGAAUCAACGGUGAACUAGAGGAAAAUGAUGGCUGCAGAGAUAUAAAACAGCUUGACUACAACUGCAAAGCAAAUUUAGGCGUGCUUGGACAUUCUGACCUCGAUCACUUCAUGAGGCCAAAUGACACCCAAGCGUAUUCAAGGAAGUUGCUCAGCACAAAAGGAAAAAAUAAAGGGCAAGAAAAAGAGUACUACUCAACCAAAAUUGAUAUUCACCAACUUGCUAUUAGUUCUCUUUUCCAAUAUUACUGGAAGUGGUCUCAAAUUCAAAUCCUUCUUCCUGUUGAUAGUGAUGCUACUCAUGCAUGCCGCAGUUUCCUGAAAGACCACGCAAUAUGUGGAGGAAGCAUGAAGCAUAUUGCUUGGCACUUGGGAAGCUGAAAGCAGCAAUGGAGGAACCUCAGCAGAAGUCCAUGGAGUUCAUAACUAACAUGCAGGUGCAACUUGAGGAUCUCACAAACAACUCCCAUCUGCCUGAUCAACCUGCACCCGCCUCACUUUCUGGUGAAAGCUAGAGAUGACUGUAGCACAAGGGCCAUGGGACAAAGAUGAAUUCUGCAGGGUUUAAGAUGUGCUUUCAUAACCAUUAAUAUGAAUAUUGCAGAAUGGUAUCUGCCACCAUUGAUCCUUUUUGUGAGUUGUGACAAUUUCAAGAACCUGUAAACAUGUGUUAUCUGGUCCUUAAUCAAACAUUAGAUAUCUAGAAGUGAAUUUUAGGCAUAUGAGUCGGGAAAAAAGCACUUGGGUCUUGAAUUCAGAAUAUUUUCUUUUUAAUUUUUCACCUUUUGUGGCUUAAAUAGUCAUUUCAUAUAGACCUUAUGAAUCGUUUAAUAUUAAAUUUUUUAGUAAUGCUAGGCAGACCAAUUUUUUGAA